GAUGAACGCUAGCGGCAGGCCUAAUACAUGCAAGUCGGACGGGAUUGAGUAGCUUGCUAUUCAUGAGAGUGGCGCACGGGUGCGUAACACGUAUGUAACCUACCCUUGUCAGGGGGAUAGCCUCUCGAAAGAGAGAUUAAGACCGCAUAACAUUGUAAUGUGGCAUCACAAAACAAUCAAAUAUUUAUAGGACAAGGAUGGGCAUGCGGAACAUUAGCUAGUUGGUAAGGUAACGGCUUACCAAGGCUACGAUGUUUAGGGGAUCUGAGAGGAUGACCCCCCACACUGGUACUGAGACACGGACCAGACUCCUACGGGAGGCAGCAGUAAGGAAUAUUGGUCAAUGGGCGGAAGCCUGAACCAGCCAUGCCGCGGGCAGGAAGACGGCCCUAUGGGUUGUAAACUGCUUUUGCAGGGGAAUAAACCUCGAUACGUGUAUCGAGCUGAAUGUACUCUGAGAAUAAGGAUCGGCUAACUCCGUGCCAGCAGCCGCCGUAAUAC
rnacentral:rRNA from 1 species